CAAAACUAUUACAGAAACUCUUUUUUUUCCAAGAGUUAUUGAACUAUGGAACAAUCUACCACAUGGUUUAAAAAAAUUCCAGUGUUGCUAAUUUUAAAUCAAAACUGCAUGCAUAUUUUUCGGACAGGUUGCAAACGUACAUACCGCCGUAAUUGAUUCAGAUGCAGUCGGACUUCUAAAAUUGGAUAUUUGCAUUUUUAGUGUGAAGUUUGAAGAAACUUCACAGUAUUGUGAUGACUGGGGGGAAAUUCAAACGAAACAGUCAGUCAGUCAGUCAUACAGUAAACUUUCCGGGGGGGUGUAUACGUCUUAUGUUCGUAGUGAUAUCGUACUUAGUCUGUGCUUUGAAGGUUAUUUAGGCAAUUUCAAUUGUCUUUUUUGCCAAGUUUACAAAAAAUUCGAGGAAUUGUUGUCGUUAUUGUAAAUUUUAUAACAUGCGUUUCUUAUGUUGUGUAAAGGAUCUUCACCCCGGAACACCCGAUUUUUCCUUUAGCAGCGCAAAUGCGCAUGCGCUAUCAAGCCGUAGAUCACGAUGGCGUGACGAUGCUAGGAAGGAGCGAGACAGUGUUGUUUUGAAAUGUAUAAACAUUUCAGACGUGAAUAUUGAGUAAAUCUUCGAGAAUCUACGCAGUAUAUAAAUUGAUGUUAUGCAUUCAAUUAAGUGCCGAUAUUAUUUAGACGGUAUAUUCAUUUUACAGAGCUAGCAAGGAGCUAGUACAGUGCUUUUUUUUCAAGUGUAUAUAUUAAACAUUUCAGACGUAAAUAUUUGGUCGAAAUUCUUUGAGAUUCUAGGCAUUCAAUUGAGUGCCGAUAUUAUUUUCACGGUAUACCCAUUAUACAGAGGUAGGAAAGAGCGAGAGAGUGUUGUUUUCAAAUGUAUAAACAUUUCAGACAUGAAUGUUGAGAAAAUCUUUCAGAUUCUACGCAAUAUAUAAAUUGAUAACGUUGUGCAUUUAUACCGGCGCCCAGUUAAGUGCCAGAAGAUAUAUACAAAGCGUAAACAACUAUUACCAGUAAACAGAAGCGGGCGUUUGUAUGGCGUUUACGAAGAAAAUAACUUGUGAGUUGUGAUCGAGACUAAAAGAAAUCAGUUGAGUCUGCAGAGCUCCUUAUUUAAACAAGAAAGACG